rnacentral:rRNA from 1 species
GACGAACGCUGGCGGCGUGCUUAACACAUGCCUUUCGAACGAGACGAUUGAAAGCUUGCUUUUGAAAGUCGAGUGGCAAACGGGUGAGUAACGCGUAGACAACCUGCCGUAAAGAUGGGGACAACAGUUCGAAAGGACUGCUAAUACCGAAUGUUGUAGAGUUUCCGCAUGGGGAUUCUACUAAAGGUGGCCUCUACUUGUAAGCUAUCGCUUUACGAUGGGUCUGCGUCUGAUUAGCUAGUUGGUGGGGUAACGGCCUACCAAGGCGACGAUCAGUAGCCGGUCUGAGAGGAUGAACGGCCACAUUGGAACUGAGACACGGUCCAGACUCCUACGGGAGGCAGCAGUGGGGAAUCUUCCGCAAUGGGCGCAAGCCUGACGGAGCAACGCCGCGUGAGUGAAGAAGGGUUUCGACUCGUAAAGCUCUGUUGUCGGGGACGAAUGUGGAGAUGGUGAAUAACCAUUUCCAAUGACGGUACCUGACGAGGAAGCCACGGCUAACUACGUGCCAGCAGCCGCGGUAAUACGUAGGUGGCGAGCGUUAUCCGGAAUGAUUGGGCGUAAAGGGUACGUAGGCGGCCAGAUAAGUCUGGUGUGAAAGGCUGCAGCUCAACUGCAGCACUGCACUGGAAACUGUCCGGCUGGAGUGCAGAAGAGGGCAGCGGAACUCCAUGUGUAGCGGUAAAAUGCGUAGAUAUAUGGAAGAACACCGGUGGCGAAGGCGGCUGCCUGGUCUGCAACUGACGCUGAAGUACGAAAGCGUGGGGAGCAAAUAGGAUUAGAUACCCUAGUAGUCCACGCCGUAAACGAUGAGAACUAGGUGUUGGGGGAAUAACUCAGUGCCGCAGUCAACGCAAUAAGUUCUCCGCCUGGGGAGUAUGCACGCAAGUGUGAAACUCAAAGGAAUUGACGGGGGCCCGCACAAGCGGUGGAGUAUGUGGUUUAAUUCGAAGCAACGCGAAGAACCUUACCAGGUCUUGACAUCGAUCUAAAAGGGAGAGAGAUCUCCUCAUAGCUAUAGAGAAGACAGGUGGUGCAUGGUUGUCGUCAGCUCGUGUCGUGAGAUGUUGGGUUAAGUCCCGCAACGAGCGCAACCCCUGUCGCCAGUUGCCAGCAUUGAGUUGGGGACUCUGGCGAGACUGCCUCUGCAAGGAGGAGGAAGGCGGGGAUGACGUCAAAUCAUCAUGCCCCUUAUGACCUGGGCCACACACGUGCUACAAUGGACGGAGCAGAGGGAAGCGAGACCGCGAGGUUGAGCAGAGCCCAGAAACCCGUUCUCAGUUCGGACUGCAGUCUGCAACUCGACUGCACGAAGCUGGAAUAGCUAGUAAUCGCGGAUCAGCAUGCCGCGGUGAAU